GACGAACGCUGGCGGCGUGCCUAAUACAUGCAAGUUGAGCGAUGAAGAUUGGUGCUUGCACCAAUUUGAAGAGCAGCGAACGGGUGAGUAACGCGUGGGGAAUCUGCCUUUGAGCGGGGGACAACAUUUGGAAACGAAUGCUAAUACCGCAUAACAACUUUAAACAUAAGUUUUAAGUUUGAAAGAUGCAGUUGCAUCACUCAAAGAUGAUCCCGCGUUGUAUUAGCUAGUUAGUGAGGUAAAGGCUCACCAAGGCGAUGAUACAUAGCCGACCUGAGAGGGUGAUCGGCCACAUUGGGACUGAGACACGGCCCAAACUCCUACGGGAGGCAGCAGUAGGGAAUCUUCGGCAAUGGACGAAAGUCUGACCGAGCAACGCCGCGUGAGUGAAGAAGGUUUUCGGAUCGUAAAACUCUGUUGGUAGAGAAGAACGUUGGUGAGAGUGGAAAGCUCAUCAAGUGACGGUAACUACCCAGAAAGGGACGGCUAACUACGUG
rnacentral:rRNA from 1 species